GUUUGAUCAGCUUCGGUUUAGGCCGUGUGAUUAAGAAUUUAAGAUAAACCUUAACACUUAUGAAAGUAAUCAAGCACUAUCCGGUAGUGAAAGUUAAUAUAACAUAUAGGAUUAUAGUUUGGCCAAUAUCAUAACAACUAGGAUAUAAUUUUAUGAAUGUACAAUAUGCAGGACAAAGUACUUUGUAUCUUUUGAUAGAGUUACAUGCACUAUAAGAGAAUUAAACAUAUUAGAAAAAAGACUAGAUUAUGUAAAAUGUCAUAAUCAUAUUACUAUAAGACUAGCUAGACUGAGGUCAAAUCAAUGCAUAAAUUUAAAUCAUUAUCUCUUUUGAAUUCGAUUAUCUCCCUCACAUUUUUCAAAUUUCUCUACUCACUUUUUCUAUAAAGCGGAAACAGUAAUCGGCGGUUCAUAUGUAGUCGGCCAUUACGGACCCAUUUAAUUAGAUAAAUUAUUCUUAGCCGUCAGUUUCAUAUUUCG